GAGACUAUAGCUCAGUGGUAGAGCACAUGCUUAGCAUUCAUGAAGUCCUGGGUUCAAUCCCCAGUACCUCCA
rnacentral:tRNA from 1 species